ACCGCGUAUCACCGGUCUCGCUCGUAGACAAAAUGAGUUACAAGCCUGAACUUAUAAUAUUUGGUGUAAAGCGUUAACCCAAAACCAAA